UUCAAGUUGAAGAGAUUUUUUGAAACUUUAAGAAAAAGAAGAAGAAAAAAAACGACACUUCUGUAAUCAUUGCUCUAUAUUUUUUUACUUUGACUAGAUCUGGGUACUGUUGUUUUUUCUUUUUUCCUUUUUUUUCUUUCUUUUUUUCCAAUGAAAGUAAGGGAAUUUUGAGAGGUACAUGAAACAUGGUUAUCAAAUUUCCUAUUAUUGGAGCUAUUUGUUGAUUCAAGGCCUUACUGUAGUGUAAUCUCCAUUUUUGCAGACUAAAAACAACACGAGUAUUGACGUUGUACUGCUUAAAAUCUGUUAAAACAUGCAAGGAACAACUGUUAAAUGUGCCUUUCGAGCUGUGCGCUGAUGACAGAUUGAUGGAGUACAUAGUAUCUGGGCCUGGCUAUUUUCUUGGCCGCGUUUUUCUAAAUUGAAAGGAUAACGUGUGUCAUAUUACUACAAUUGAAAAAAUAAGUGUGCCAUGUUUCUAACUUGCUACACAAGCUUGUGCCUUAAAUUGAUCUAUGCUUGCAGAUCUCUCUGAGAUGAUGCCAAUUCUAUUUCUAGUCUCACUGGGGAACCUGGGACCCUAAUUUCUGAAGUUCUUCACUAUGACCCUGAAGAUUGCAGUUGCUCCUGUCCAGGUUUCAUUAAGAAGCAGAGUCAUCAUAACUUGCCAUCUGAAGGGAAAACCUUGGAGGAAAAGGUUAAAACUGCUGUCCUGGAAGAAAGAUUUUCAAAAGGGCCAAUCAGAUGGGCUUAUUAAUGUAUGCAAUUCCUGUUUGUCGUUACUUUAUGCUUGAUGUUUUGUUCUCAGUUGCCCUGUUUCUCUGCAUAAUUGGAGUCAAAGGUUGAUUUAGGCAAAAUUUUCAGUCAUGUAAUUCAUGGAUGUUAUAUCUUCAUGUUUUACUUGUCUUAAAAACCUAAUUAGAUAAAGGAAAAAAGUUACUCUUGUUGAAGGGUAUUUGGUUUCCGUUCCAUGCAUUUCUGCAGGAAGUUCAUGAGAGCAUCGUAAUUUCAUUAACUAUAAUUUAUGCGACGUGUUCUCUACAUAAAUGUUGCUACACUAUAAACAGUCGAUUGCCAAUUUUUAGCAUGUGUACUAAUAAAUUUCAGACCAAUGUCAAUGACCUCAAUGAUUGGGUUUUGCCUUCA